rnacentral:rRNA from 1 species
GACGAACGCUGGCGGCGUGCUUAACACAUGCAAGUCGAACGGAAAGGCCCUGCUUUUGUGGGGUGCUCGAGUGGCGAACGGGUGAGUAACACGUUAGUAACCUGCCCUUGCCUUUGGGAUACCUUCAGUAAACUGGGGCUACUACCGGAUAGGAGCUCCUGCUGCAUGGUGGGGGUUGGAAAGUUUCGUCGGUUGGGGAUGGACUCGCGGCUUAUCAGCUUGUUGGUGGGGUAGUGGCUUACCAAGGCUUUGACGGGUAGCCGGCCUGAGAGGGUGACCGGCCACAGUGGGACUGAGAGACGGCCCAGACUCCUACGGGAGGAAGAAGUGGGGAAUAUUGCACAAUGGGCGGAAGCCUGAUGCAGCAACGCCGCGUGCGGGAUGACGGCCUUCGGGUUGUAAACCGCUGUCGCCUGUGACGAAGAGUGAGUGACGGUAAUGGGUAAAGAAGCACCAGCUAACUACGUG